rnacentral:rRNA from 1 species
ACGCUCGACACCUACGGAGGCAGCAGUGGGGAAUAUUGCACAAUGGGGGAAACCCUGAUGCAGCGAUGCCGCGUGAAGGAAGAAGUAUCUCGGUAUGUAAACUUCUAUCAGCAGGGAAGAAAAUGACGGUACCUGACUAAGAAGCCCCGGCUAACUACGUGCCAACAGCCGCGGUAAUCUGAGCGGGCUGGCAAGGC